rnacentral:rRNA from 1 species
UACGAAGGGGGCUAGCGUUGCUCGGAAUCACUGGGCGUAAAGGGCGCGUAGGCGGCCUCAGGUGUCGGAUGUGAAAGCCCGGGGCUCAACCCCGGAGGUGCAUCCGAAACUCUGGGGCUGGAGGUCGGAAGAGGAGGGUGGAAUACCCAGUGUAGAGGUGAAAUUCGUAGAUAUUGGGUGGAACACCAAUGGCGAAAGCAGCUCUCUGGGACGGUACUGACGCUGAGACGCGAAAGCGUGGGGAGCGAACAGG